AACUAAGUAUAUCUCUAAUUAAAUUUUUCUUAAUUGAAUGUCUAGUAGAAAAUUGAAAUAGUUUAAAUUCAAGAGAAUGCCAUUGGACAUGUGGUAGAAUACCAAAAGUAUCUAGCUGCCUAACUCCAGUUUUAUCAUAUUUAAUUUUGAUGUUUAUCCAACUACUGUCUAAAUGUUUGUUUUUUAUGAGUUUAAAUUGUCUUCUUUCCACAGAAUCAAGUGACGGAUACUAAUAGAAAACUACAACAUGAGGGAAAGGAACUGGUAAUAGCAAUGGAAGAGCUGAAGCAGUGUCGACUACAACAGAGAAAUAUUUCUGCCACUGUUGAUAAAUUAAUGCUGUGUCUUCCAGUGCUAGAGAUGUACAGCAAACUGAGGGACCAAAUGAAAACUAAAAGG